UAAAGAGUCACUGAUUAGUCCAGGUGUGGUGCACAAGAGAUCCAUUGUUUUUGACCGCAGGCUGGUGUAGGCUGGUGGUGUUCUUUGAGUUGGAUUUUGGACACUUGAUUGUUGUUUUUUGAGCCAAAUAAAUAGAUUGGCAUAUUCAGCCAAAGUAAGUGACUUGUUGUAUUGUUUGUGGAUGUGAGGAACGAAGAAGCACGCCAACAAAGCUGCAAGAGAAAACUGUGAAGCAGAUGGGAUGAAGGACCUGCGAUAGCGCUCUUUCUUGCAGGGUGGAUGUCUCAGUCUGCUGCUGAAGGAGCUGCUUAAAGACCCCACAGUGUCAUGCAGUGGGUGAGAGGGAGAUAGUGAUGCAUCCCUUCCGUGGAACCUGUUACCUGGCAACCAGCUGAAUGAGGUCUGUAUGGUAUAAAAG
ensembl:lncRNA